UGGGGUCUCUGUGCUGUAGGACGGCAGGCCAGCCGCAUCUCGGUCCUUGGCUCCUGUUUGGCUGUUCCUGGGGAAGGAGGAAGAGGGGCCAAAAGCAGAAAUGCGGAACAACUUGCAUCCAGCUUUGAGAAGUACCCAAGCAGACUGCAUUUUUGGGCCAUUUCUCUUCUCUUGAGCCUGCAAAAGUGUUUGGGUCUGGCUUCUCUUGGCAAAUAUCUGUGAUGCUGCCUGAUGCUGAGCAGCAGCAAAUUCUCUUGUGCUUAGUUGCUCAGCUCAGAGAUCCAUGUGCUUACCUGGGGAAACAGAGAGACGUGCACUGGAUGCUGCAGUUCCAAAUUCAUUUUCAGCAACACAUUUAAAUAUUCCAGAGUCUUCUGGAAAAGCUUCUGUAAUAACCAGGGUGCAGACUUCCUCUGAAAUGACAAAUUCGGGCAUGCUGUUGUACCAUAAAACCAAUUCCUACAAGUUAACAUUUGGGUCCUUGCAGAAGGACUGCUACUUAGUGAUGGGGCUUGGCAGCAAUAAAGUGCAAAAAAGUGAUGUAAAGGGCAUAGGAAGUCAAGGGGUUCGGAAGGAGCAAAGGUGAAGGAAGAAUCUUUCUUCCUGUGGCUUUAAAGAAACAAGGCACAAUUUUUUUGCUAAAUUCUGUCUUCUCUUGCACAAGUUUAAAACCCAGAAAAGAUCACAGGUCAGAAUGGUUGAUAUGCUUUCCCUUAACACACAGGGUGCUCUUCCUUGACUGAAUGUAAAAGGGAUGAUACCUUUUUCAUUGUGUUGUGAAAUAAAUUGGGGCUUUUCAGGCGCUUGUGUCAAAACCAAGAACUUGAAAGCUCUUAGCCUGACACUGAAUGCUAUCUUCUGGCUCCCCUUUGAACAUUAUUGUUUUAUCUUGGAUGAGGUGGGAAAAACUAAGCUUGGGGUAAUUAACCGGUAAGAUGUCUAACAAAAAAUGCGCAGUGUACUUACCGGGAACAGCUGACGAACAAGCCUCUGCUCAAAAUAGGAAAGAAAAAAAUUAAAUGGUUAUAAUGCCAGAAUGGAAGAAAGACCUUCAGCCCUCACCUCCUUUCCCACCUCAGCUGUCACCCCAGUUACAAAAGGGACCAUCUCCCUUCCUGUCCAUCAAGAGAAAUACCAUGCGGGUAGGGGAAGCUCAGGUUUGGCUGGAACCUGAUGGUACAAACACCUCUUCACUGAGGUGAUACAGAAAGAGCUCCACUGACUUUGGAGUUAGUUGCUGUGAAUUUGGCCCACUGGAGCUAUGACCUCAUGCCUGGGAGUAUGAUAAAUUGUUUAAAAUGUGCUUAUAUUGCAAAUUGUUUUUCCCCGAGUUCAUUAGUAGUUGUAAUAUACGGUGACGAUGCCUCCAGGCUCAGCAGUACUUCAUGAAUAACGAACAGCACGGCAAUCUCCUCCCGUUGUGCCUGACCUGCUCACGCGUUGCCAGAGGAAGCGCAGGCUCUGCACAGCAGUCUGUGACUUCAGGUCAUUUCAUACUUGUAAACUUAACUCUGCCUCUAUGAACAUGUACGAUCUCCUAAUUUUUAUAGCAGUUUUGCUCCUGUCUUGUCAUCGUCCCAAUAAAAUUACUGUACAUC